CACCAGCGCCCCGAGUGGUGGUCACGUUUAUUGGGCCUAAAGCGUUCGUAGCCGGUUUGGUAAAUUCCUUGUGAAAUCGUCGCGCUUAACGCGACGGCGUGCAGGGAACACUGCCAGACUAGGAACCGGGAGGAGUCAGAGGUAUGCCGUGGGGACCGGUAAAAUGGGAUAAUCCACGGUAGACCACCGAUGGCGAAGGCAUCUGACCAGAACGGAUUCGACGGUGAGGAACGAAAGCCAGGGGAGCGAA
rnacentral:rRNA from 1 species